rnacentral:rRNA from 1 species
UGUCUAGUCUGUACUGACGCUGAGCUCGAAGCAUGGGUAGCGAACAGGAUUAGAUACCUGGUAGUCCAUGCCGUAAACGAUGAGUGCUAAGUGUUGGAGGGUUCCCCUUCAGUGCUGCAGCUAACGCAUUAAGCACUCCGCCUGGGGAGUACGACCGCAAGGUUGAAACUCAAAGGAAUUGACGGGGGCCCGCACAAGCGGUGGAGCAUGUGGUUUAAUUCGAAGCUACGCGAAGAACCUUACCAGGUCUUGACAUCUUCUGCCAAUCUUAGAGAUAAGACGUUCCCUUCGGGGACAGAAUGACAGGUGGUGCAUGGUUGUCGUCAGCUCGUGUCGUGAGAUGUUGGGUUAAGUCCCGCAACGAGCGCAACCCUUAUUAUCAGUUGCCAGCAUUCAGUUGGGCACUCUGGUGAGACUGCCGGUGACAAACCGGAGGAAGGUGGGGAUGACGUCAAAUCAUCAUGCCCCUUAUGACCUGGGCUACACACGUGCUACAAUGGACGGUACAACGAGUCGCGAAGUCGUGAGGCUAAGCUAAUCUCUUAAAGCCGUUCUCAGUUCGGAUUGUAGGCUGCAACUCGCCUACAUGAAGUUGGAAUCGCUAGUAAUCGCGGAUCAGCAUGCCGCGGUGAAUACGUUCCCGGGCCUUGUACACACCGCCCGUCACACCAUGAGAGUUUGUAACACCCAAAGCCGGUGAGAUAACCUUCGGGAGUCAGCCGUCUAAGGUGGGACAGAUGAUUAGGGUGAAGUCGUAACAAGGUAACCA